rnacentral:tRNA from 2 species
GCCCGGGUGGCGGAAUGGUAGACGCAAGGGACUUAAAAUCCCUCGGAAGUUUUUUCCGUGCCGGUUCAAGUCCGGCUCCGGGCACCA